AUAAACGUUGGCGGCGUGCCUAAUACAUGCAAGUCGAACGAAGGGCUUAAGGUAGCAAUACUUUGAUAACUCUUAGUGGCGAACGGGUGAGUAACGCGUUGGUGACCUGCCCCAAAGAGAGGGGUAACAGCCCGAAAGGGCUGCUAAUACCUCAUGUGAUCAUUUGAUUUAGAACCUUAUGAUUAAAGGAGCUUGCUCCACUUUGGGAGGGGCCUGCGUCCCAUCAGCUAGUUGGUAGGGUAAUGGCCUACCAAGGCUAUGACGGGUAGGGGACCUGAGAGGGUGGCCCACCACAAUGGAACUGAAACACGGUCCAUACACCUACGGGUGGCAGCAGUAGGGAAUAUUGGUAAUCUGCGAAAGCGGGAACCAGCAACGCCGCGUGCGCGAUGAAGGCCUUCGGGUUGUAAAGCGCUUUUCGAGAGGAAGAGGAAGGACUGUACUCUCGGAAUAAGUCUCGGCUAACUACGU
rnacentral:rRNA from 1 species